AAAGAUAAUUUCAUACUUGUGUAGUAAGAUUACCCCCGAAAAAUAAAAUGACGAAGCAAUACCAUCCGUUGACUAAAUAUUACAACAUAAUACACCACAUUCAUUUGUUUAGCUUCAUUAGUCCAAUUGCAUUUUUAGCUUGCUUCUAUGAGAAUGAGAAAGAUAAAAACAAUCAGAUAAAUCGUGUUCAUGUUGGUAGUCCCACUAAUACAAAAUAUUGGAUAAAAUUUGGACAGUUGCAGUUGACAACAAAUACUUCAUCUUAUAUCCACCUAAAGAAAAGAAAAUCAAGCAUUAGUAUUAUUGGUAAGACUUACAUAUGGUAGUAUAACAAUCAUAAAAUUCAGCUAGUUUGCAUAUUCAGCAAAACAAUCAUAAAUUCAUUAAUUUUGGAGGAAAAAGAGGGGCAUAAAAUAUCAGCAUGGACUAAGAGGAGAAAGAAAAGAUUCAGACACGGUAGACCUAUUGAAAUGCCCCCAUCAAAGGCAUGUUCUAAAUCUGAAUUGGGUCUCUUCUUUUUAGCAAUCUAUAGCUAGGCAUUAAAUAAUGAUUUACAACCUUGGAGGACCUAUUUAGGGAUAUGAACCUUUAACCUAUUUCAUUGGAGGAGACUAUCUUCAUUGAUUUUGGUAUUGAUGUAAUAACUGAAAAGUGAUACACACCAAAUUUAAAAUAGAAAAUCUGCAAUAGAAGCACUACCAGUAAAUCACAAUUCACAACCAUACUCGCAUAUUCUGUGACUUAGGAGAGAUCAUGUAGUGGUAUUUCUAUUUCAAUCACCUGACCCUACUCUAUUCAUGAGAACAACUGCUAUCUAUGUUGAAUGAAUGCGUCCAGGUUACUACAAAAAUUUCUAGACAAAUUCUAACUUCUGCAAAUACUACUUCAAUUGCCUUAUUUCUAUUAUAUACUUACAAGCAACGACCAUCUCAUCAUGACCAUCUAUCGAAGAGAUGCACCAAAAAGAUCUGAAAAACAUAAAGCAGAUAAACGAACCUUCAAAAUAUAAGUUUUGAGUAGUAUUUAAACACAUGUUAAAGGAUACAAUGAAAAGAAGCAUAUUGCCAACGACAAGUCUGUUUUUUCAUUUCCUUGCAAAACUUACUAAUGACAAACUAAGUGAAUGUGUGGGCUAAAGAUGUUGCAACCUGAUCAUUCUAGAUAUGUCCAUGUUAUUGUCCUUGGUGGGGCUUCAGUGAGAGUUCAUCAUUUAUAAUUUGCUGCUUUUGAGGCUAGUGAAAAAUAUUCAACAUGUUGUGCGAGAGAUUUGGAAACAACAGUUAUCACUUAUCACAUGCCAUCAGUUCUUGCUCGAUCCUUAUCUAUAUGAAAUAAAGCGUGCGUCUAUACCGAUAAGUAGAUAUUGAUUGAUCUCAACUAAUCAAGGGGAAAAUGUUUGAUAUUUUGGUCAAUUCAAAAUAUCAUAAUAAAAAUACCCCCGUACCCUGACAACUUAAAAAAAGUGAAAAGAAGAAAGGAAUGUUGAGGCUAGGAAUGAAGUGCAAAGAGAAAACUGGAGAAAUAAAACUCACAUGCAGACAUCCACUAAUCAAACAAAUCAAAUGCUCAAAAAACAAAAUCAGAGAACAUAGCUUACCAAUUAAUACAAUCGCAGCACACCAGAUUGAUCGGCAAAGGACUGUCAAUCCAACUAAAGAAGAUACUAUCAUGUGACAGAAGCAUUAUUCAAAGUUCAAACUUGCCGCAAUUAUUACUCCCACCGUUCCAGUUUAUGUAAACCUAGCUAUUUCCUUUUUGGUCCGUUCCAAAAAGAAUGACCCCUUUCUAAAUUUGGAAACAAUUUAGCUUAAACUUCCAAUUCUACCCUUAAUGAGAAGCUUUUAUAACCACACAAAUACUCUGGUCCCCAUUUUGACUUGUUUAGGACCACAAAUUCUAAAAAAGUCAUCAUUUUUUCUUAAACUCCGUGAUCAGUCAAACAUGUUCACAUAAAUUGGAACAGAGGGAGUAUUAUUGAAAAAAAUGGAAGGGAAGGAAAAGAUAAAGCUGUAAUUUUGAUUACUUUUGCUCCACGCGUAUAGUAGUCACCGGAACAUCUAUGUACAAGAUAAAAAGUCAUAAGCAAGCUGCGGUAAGGACUUUAUUUUCCUGCAAAACAAUUGUUGAUGUAUAGAAAAACAUGUUACUAAUUUAUAUGAGGGAAUCAAUUAGGAUAUUUGCGAACGAACAUUUAAACUUGUUGCUAAAUUUUUAUGUUUGAGUAGCUUAGUAACUUUUAUUCUCUGUGUAAAAGCAUAGGAGUUAGCAGGACUUCAGAAUAUGCAAGCAUUUGAACUAUCUCGGAGGAGUUGAUUGAAAUAUUUCAAGAAUUUCUCAAGGAUUAAUCUUCAUUUCCUGCACAUACUCUAGUCCCUCUCGAGAUAGUAAUUCUGGGGUUUUCACAUUAUAAAAUGACAUAAAGAUGAUCUCCGAAUGAUCUUCUUAGCUGCUACUUGAUUUUCAAAUGUAUCAACCAAAUCAGACAACCCAAUGAAUGAAAGCUCUUAAUCUUCAUUAUACUCCAGCAUAGAGCGAUAAUGUCUCAAAUUCUAGAGUAAUCUUAAUAUCUCGUUCUGAACACUUAUGUCAUUUGAGUAUCAAAUAAAUCUCAGUUGUAACCUAAAAGCAACAACCAUAAAUUCCAGCUUUGUUUCUUUGAUACUAUGUUGUAGAUUAGUUUUAUGGAGUUACAACCAACAAAUCAGAAGUAGAAAGAUUCAAAAAAUGACGAAGAAACAAUAAUAAUUCAACGAUGAUAGAUAAACAAAAUUGAUUGUCCUUGUAAUAUUGCAUAGAUCAGAGAGCUAUUGUUGAAAUGUGAGACCCGUUUGGCCAUAGAUCACUUUUGACACGGAACCAACCCCCAGAGGAAACAGAGGGACAACAACACAAAACUGCAGCACAUCCCUAUUUUUAUUUCUAAAGCAAGAAAGAACAACGACACUGCCACUCUUCAAUUAAUUUCUAAAUCAAUUCCCAAAUAGAAUUUCAGUGCACCUUUAUCAUCUCUCAACGCAAUUCUAAUGUGCAAAGUCGCCCAAACCUGUAGAAGUAAGAGGUUCUUACUCCCAUGUAGUCUAAAUACUUUUUUUCUUACUAUUUUCUUCAAUCCUUUAUCUUCUUUUUUAUAACAAGAAUAAGUACAACUAUAGAUUUGUUGCCUAACAUAAACUUUUCCUAAGCAUUCAUCCCACAAAUCAAAGUAGGCAAAUAACUUUAAGCUUUUCCUAAUCAUGUAUAUUCCAAUCAAUCAACCUCCAUUCCAUACAUCAUCCUAUUUCUUUGGAUGCUGUCAUAGCCAAAAAGAAGUGACAAAAUAAGACGGUAAACUUUCCUCUUCCAUUGUUAUCUUCGAGAAAUAGAGUAAGACAGUGGACACAUAGAAGGUUUGAAGAUGAAAUUUCAUAAAGAUACCCCACGCCCUAGAUCACUUUCAGCAUUCUAAAGAUGCCAAGUGAAUGUAGAAAUUUGAAAGUUCUAAAAGAUGGAUAUAUAUUCUUUGUUCCGAGUUGGCGAUUUUGGUGUUAUAGAUGUAGUUUAUUGUAAGGUCUGUAAUGUUAUUUGAAAAGUGUUCAUGACGGCUAGUAAGAUGAUAAAGCCCAUAAUACUGUAUGUAAUACCCGAAAGAAUUGUACUCUAGCUAGUUUGUUGAACAUACCAUCACAAUCUCGGUGUUGUUUGUAAUUAGAAAAUUUACCUUUUUAAUCAAAAGCAAUAUAAGGAGAAAAUAUGGUCAAAGUAUAGAAUCAGAUAUGCUGAGCACAUUUUUCCUGAAAUAAAAAGAACUCAAUUUAGUAAAAAUUUUGAUUCAUAUCUUCUCAAGCUCAACCUGAGACUAUACUUUCCUAAAGUCGGAAUAGGAUCGUUCUCCACUUCACGAGAUUUUAAAAAGAACAACUUAAUUUUGUAAAUACUUCAUUAAUCAUUUUUCCCAAAUAAAGUUUUUAAACAUAUAAAAUCUCUAUAAGAAGACAAAAGUGAAAGAACACAAGUAUUUUUCUUGGCUGUACAUUAAAAAUAAAAAGAAUGCAUUUGAAACAUUAGUUUGCUAAUUUCAGUACUGUUGAAGAAGCCUUGUAAAACAUUAAAUUCGGAUAGCCUAACAUACAAUUAUUUCUUGUUAGCUAAGAAGUCCUUUAAAGUAUGCAUCAACUACCGUCAACAGUCAGAUAAAUAUUACUUCUCAUUUAAUUCUAUCCUCUCAUGUCUACAGCAGUUUAGAAAAUCCACAAAAUUGUUUAGAUCCUGGGGCCAUCUUACAAUUACACCAAGAAUACACAAACUGCAAUGACUUGAAUUGAAUACAUGCUAAGGCCCAAUAAGUAUUUUGAAAAAAACUAUAGUUUCUUUCCACAUUGUGCAAAAAAAGCACGAAGGAACUUAUUACUGGAUGUCUUUGUGAAUGUAAUAGAAAAUCUCAUGAAUUAAGCAUAAAAAACCUUUUGUUCUUGGGGAUAAUUGCAUUUUUAAUGAGUUACUAAUAUUGAAAAGGGGAAGUAAGUAAAAGUAAACCAAAAUGUGCAGAACUUACCUGGUACAAGUGAAGCAAUAUUCCUUUCCCCACUUUCAGUUAACAACUUCCUUUAAGAAAAAUCUGAAAAAUCAAUAUUUUGGGACCAUUAUAUUCCUACUAAAUGAAUACAAAAAUAUUCGGUAAUAUCAAAAGUUCAUAUUUCAAACAAAACCCAAGUAAGCGAUACACUAUUCAGUUUAAUAGAGUCUCGUCAAAAAAUAAUAAAAUAGGAGUAAUAAUUUUGAAAAAGAAGAAGAUAAACCCAAUUAAAGAACAUUGUGUGAGAAAAAUAUUGUGCAUGAGUAAAUCAAACAUAUCUACUGACAUGUAUGUAUAACAUUCAAUAAAAUACUGCCCAAAAGUUCAAGAUGCCCAAAAAAUUAUAUUAAAAACAGGAUCCAAACACAUGCAUAGCCGAGAAAACAGAGGAAGAUGCAAAGAAGGUGUCCAAUUCCCUGCUUCUUAGUAGGAGAAACUGAUAGAUAAGUCACCAAAGAAACCCCAAAUUUUCCAUCUUUCAAUUUUCUUUUUCAAACUUUCAGUUCAUACACUUUGAAAACCUAAAUAGACACAAUUCAAUAAUGUAGCCACAUAAGACUCACCAAUCCUUGUAACAUUAAAAAAAUUAGAAAUGGUAAAAGAUAAAAGAUAAAAGAUAUUCUCCAUCUUCAUAAUAGCCAAAGGUAACACAUAA
rnacentral:lncRNA from 1 species